UGGAGAACUGAGGGGGGCUGCUCCUAGUACGAGAGGACCGGAGUGGACGCAUCACUGGUGUUCGGGUUGUCAUGCCAAUGGCACUGCCCGGUAGCUAAAUGCGGAAGAGAUAAGUGCUGAAAGCAUCUAAGCACGAAACUUGCCCCGAGAUGAGUUCUCCCUGAGACUUUAGGUCUCCUGAAGGAACGUUGAAGACGACGACGUUGAUAGGCCGGGUGUGUAAGCGCAGCGAUGCGUUGAGCUAACCGGUACUAAUGAACCGUGAGGCUUAACCUU
rnacentral:rRNA from 1 species